UAAUACGUAGGCAGCAAACGUUGUUCGGAAUUACUGGGCGUAAAGAGUGUGUAGGCGGUUGGGCAAGUCUGGUGUGAAAUCUCCCGGCUUAACUGGGAGGGUGCGCUAGAAACUGCUUGACUUGAGUGUCGGAGAGGAAGGCGGAAUUCCUGGAGUAGCGGUGAAAUGCGUAGAUAUCAGGAGGAACACCAGCGGUGUAGACGGCCUUCUGGACGACAACUGACGCUGAGACACGAAAGCGUGGGGAGCAAACAGGAUUAGAUACCCUGGUAGUCCACGCCCUAAACGAUGCAUACUUGGUGUGAGUCCUUCAGUGGAUUCGUGCCGGAGCUAACGCGUUAAGUAUGCCGCCUGGGGAGUACGGUCGCAAGGCUGAAACUUAAAUGAAUUGACGG
rnacentral:rRNA from 1 species